AAGUCGUAACAAGGUUUCCGUAGGUGAACCUGCGGAAGGAUCAUUACCACAUCCAAAAUCUUUUAUAUAAACCCACACAUGUGAAGUUAUGAUGAGGAACUUUUUUCCAAAAAUCAUUUUGAACCCCUUUUGAACUCUUUUGAAGUAGAAAAAGCAAGAUUAAUCAAAAAUGAGAAAAGAGAAAACAACUUUUAACGGUGGAUCUCUUGGCUCGU
rnacentral:misc_RNA from 1 species